UGGCUCUCCCCUUGAACACUGAGCAGAAGGCUGGGGCUGGAGGAGGCAGGAGGAGCAGCUGGGGAAGGGGAAAGGAAAGAGGGGAAGCAGGGAGAAGGGGAACCAGGGAUGGGGUUAGGAGCUCCAAGGCCAAGGGGGUUCGUGGGGAGGCCUGAGGAGGAGCCGUGAAGGUGGGGCAGGAGCUAGAAGCCCAACUCAGGUGGGAGGAAGAUGAGGGAGAUGGUAUUAGAAAAACCAGGAUGGAGGAGGAGAAGAGGGAGUUUACAGUUUAAAGAGUCAGAGAAAUGAGAGAAGAAACGGCAUCUGAUGAUGACGAGAACGUCACGGUUGACAUCACGUAGGAAGAAGGAACCGUGGUCUGUCUUCAGGGUUCUGUCCUUCUGUUCCUGCUCAGGAUGUAACUCUGGUGUGGACAGCUGCUAACAUCCAAUCAGACAACAGGAUUGAAGGCCCUGUCAUAGUGACAAUGGUGACAUCACUGGAAGGACUCGCGGAGAGAAGACAGCGGAGCAGCAGACACACAGCGGAGCAGCCAGCCACUGCUCGCCGGCCGCGGCGCGUUCGGCUGCCGGCUGCGAGCAGCGCGGACUACCCGGGAGAGAGCGUGAAGAGGCGGACGACGUGCAGGGCGGACUGUGGCUUUUGGAGCGGGCGCACGGUGCUCCGAGUGCGGGCGGAAUGAGGCGGGAUCGCCCGAUCGGGUGAAAGAGGACGAAGAGGACGAAGAUGAGGAUGAGGACGAGGAGCGCGUCUUGUUUUAUUACAACAUGAGGAAGACAACUCCCAAACUGGCGCAUGAUGAAAAGACGGACGAAGAACUACGAAGGGAACAGGACAUCGACUAAACCACCGGAUGGCAACUGGGAAGGUGAUGCCGCUGGUGGACCAUCAAACCAGCAGAAUCAGGAGGGACCAGAAGAUGCUGACACACACACACACACACAGAGUUGCAUACGUGGCAGUAUGCUGCAGUGUUCUGUGGCUGUGUGUCAGCAGUGACUGGAGCUGAACAGACGUGAACACUGAGGGUUCAUCUGGAUGGAAGUGUUGGGUCUCUUCUCUGGUGUUGACAGAAACACCUGAAACUAAUUUGGUUAAAGAUAACAUAGUGACAGACAAUUAAUUUAAACAAAUAUUGUUUUUUUAGAAAGUAAGAAAAUCCUUAUUUUAAUGACAUGUACCUCUUACGUACUUCCAUGUA